rnacentral:rRNA from 1 species
AUGCGACCCCAGGUCAGGCGGGACUACCCGCUGAAUUUAAGCAUAUCAAUAAGUCGGGAGAAAAAAA